GAGCCCGACGGGCCUGACGGGCCGCGGCUUUUUGGGAGAGCACUCAGCGGCACAGUGGCAGCCUGUGAUUGCUGUGGUGGAGCCCUGAGGUCAUCACAGUCGGGGCUUUGAUGGGCAGAGCUUUGACUUUUCUGUGUGGACUUGUUGGUGUGCUUUGGAUCAAGUGCACUUCAGCUUGUGGUCGUGAACAGAUGGCCAGACAUUCUCCUUCAGGAUCCCAGAAACUGGAUUCUGUUCAUCUUGACGUUGCAUCUCCAGACUGAGAGAUCUCAAUUACUUUGUUUCUUAUUUGCUUCUGAAUUUCCUUGGAUUGCGCCAUGAUGUGUAGUUUUUGAGGAUCUUUUGGUCUACUCUACUUUGUCAGACAGGUCCUGUUUAAGUGAUUGAUUCAGCACAGGUUUGGCAGUAAUCGGGCCUGGCUAUGACUAUGGAAAAAUUGUAUAUUUUCUAUUGAUAAAUGCAAAUAUUUUAUGUCUGUUAUGUGCAUUGCCGUGUGGAGAAUAUAAGGAAAAAAAUUGUGUGGUUUACAUUGUUUCUUCCUCUUAGAGUUCUUGAUUUUUUUUUAAAAAUUGCAAUAACUUUAUGUUAAUUUCAGUGCACUUUCACAUUUCUUUAAAUUCAAACUACAGUCCUGUGAAUAACUAGAAACACUUCUAGCAGCACAAAUGUGAGCUAAUUGUUUUCUGCUUGACUUUAUCAGUCUCUCAUAUUGUUGUGGAGGAAUGUUGGCCCACUCUUCAUUACAACGUUGCUUCAGUUCUUUGCGGUUUGUGGGCAUUUAUUUAAGCACAGCUCUCUGAAUGUCCCAG
ensembl:lncRNA